UACAGAGGGGGCAAGCGUUGUUCGGAAUUACUGGGCGUAAAGGGCGCGUAGGCGGCCUUCUAAGUCAGACGUGAAAUCCCUCGGCUCAACCGGGGAACUGCGUCUGAGACUGGAAGGCUUGAAUUCGGGAGAGGGAUGCAGAAUUCCAGGUGUAGCGGUGAAAUGCGUAGAUAUCUGGAGGAAUACCGGUGGCGAAGGCGGCAUCCUGGACCGACAUUGACGCUGAACGGCGAAAGCUAGGGGAGCAAACGGG
rnacentral:rRNA from 1 species